rfam:Brassica rapa chromosome A5, whole genome shotgun sequence.
GAUGCGAUGAUGAUGAAACUGCACGGAGGUGCACGAAGGGCAGUGGACAAAACAUAAACUGUUUUGCCGUGAGCUCUCUUAUUUAAACGACUUCUCCUUCCACUGAGCAUU